rnacentral:rRNA from 1 species
CAGCAGCCGCGGUAAUACGGAGGGUGCAAGCGUUAAUCGGAAUUACUGGGCGUAAAGCGCACGCAGGCGGUCUGACAAGUCAGAUGUGAAAUCCCCGGGCUUAACCUGGGAACUGCAUUUGAAACUGUCAGGCUGGAGUCUUGUAGAGGGGGGUAGAAUUCCAGGUGUAGCGGUGAAAUGCGUAGAGAUCUGGAGGAAUACCGGUGGCGAAGGCGGCCCCCUGGACAAAGACUGACGCUCAGGUGCGAAAGCGUGGGGAGCAAACAGGAUUAGAUACCCGCGUAGUCCCUGUCUCUUAUCC